UGGCGUUGUAGGUAGAUAGAUAGAUAGAUAUAUAUAUAUAUAUAUAUAUAUUUAUAAUCUUUUUUUUAUUUUAUUUUUUAUUUAUUUUUUAAUUGGGGUAGCCCCCAAAAUAUUGGGACAUAUACAAAAAAACAACAACUCUGUUCUGCAGAGUAGCUGUUGACAUUAUAGUUGCACAGGCACUUUAUUGACUCUAGAGAACCUCAGGCCAAUCGCAUAUCCCUGUGGUGGCGACUCUGCAUGCGGAUCUCAUCCAUAUCAACUUUUGAUGCCAGUUUCUGCACAUACCAUGGUGACCACGGGUAACAGGGAAUCAGGGUUCCAUUUUGUACAGGGACUCUGAGAAACGGCUACCACAUGCAAGGAAGGCAGCAGGCGCACAAAUUACCCACUCUCGACGCAGGGAGGUAGUGACGAUAAAUAACAAUACAGGACCCUUUACAGGCCCUGUAAUUGGAAUGAGUCCACUUUAAAUCCUAGGAUCUAUUGGAGGGCAAGUCUGGUGCAGAGCGACUGACCCGUGUGUGCUGCAGCUGAAACUCAACUAUCGCCUGCUGCUGCUCGCACAGUCUCUCCAGCA